rfam:Oryza sativa Japonica Group DNA, chromosome 6, cultivar: Nipponbare, complete sequence.
UUUAAAUGCAACCAAAACUUUGAUCGUUUAUCUUAUUUAUUUUUUUAUAAUUAAUACUUUUAUUGUUAUGAGAUAAUAAAACAUGAAUAGUACUUUAUACAUGACUUAUGUUUUUAAUUUUUUUAAAUAAAACGAAUGAUUAAAAUUAUGCACGAAAAAUUAUAGUUGCACUUAAA